rnacentral:tRNA from 1 species
UGUUCUGUGGCUUAGUUGGUUAAAGCGCUGGUCUGGCGAAUACGGAAUCGUGGGUUUGAAUCCCACCAGAACGC